rnacentral:rRNA from 1 species
GCAAGUCGAGCGAGAAAGCACUUCGGUGCGAGUACAGCGGCGGACGGGUGAGUAACGCGUAGGAAUCUACCUGGUAGUGGGGGACAACUCGAGGAAACUCGAGCUAAUACCGCAUACGCCCUAAGGGGGAAAGUGGGGGAUCUUCGGACCUCGUGCUAUCGGAUGAGCCUGCGUUGGAUUAGCUAGUUGGUGAGGUAAAGGCUCACCAAGGCGACGAUCCAUAGCUGGUCUGAGAGGAUGAUC